rnacentral:rRNA from 1 species
AUUGAACGCUGGCGGCAUGCCUUACACAUGCAAGUCGAACGGCAGCACGGGCUUCGGUCUGGUGGCGAGUGGCGAACGGGUGAGUAAAGUAUCGGAACGUACCUUUCAGUGGGGGAUAACGUAGCGAAAGUUACGCUAAUACCGCCUAUUCUGUGAGCAGGAAAGCAGGGGAUUGCAAGACCUUGCGCUGCUUGAGCGGCCGAUAUCAGAUUAGCUAGUUGGUGGGGUAAAGGCCUACCAAGGCGACGAUCUGUAGCGGGUCUGAGAGGAUGAUCCGCCACACUGGAACUGGGACACGGUCCAGACUCCUACAGGAGGCAGCAGUGGGGAAUUUUGGACGAUGGGGGCAACCCUGAUCCAGCCAUGCCGCGUGAGUGAAGAAGGCCUUCGGGUUGUAAAGCUCUUUCGGCCGGGAAGAAAUCGCAUGGGCUAAUACCCUGUGUGGAUGACGGUACCGGAAUAAGAAGCACCGGCUAACUACGUGCCAGCCGCCGCCGUAAAAC